UACGAAGGUCCCGAGCGUUGUUCGGAAUCACUGGGCGUAAAGGGAGCGUAGGCGGCGCGGUAAGUCGGGUGUGAAAUCUUGGAGCUUAACUCCGAAACUGCAUUCGAUACUGCCGUGCUUGAGGACUGGAGAGGAGACUGGAAUUUACGGUGUAGCGGUGAAAUGCGUAGAUAUCGUAAGGAAGACCAGUGGCGAAGGCGGGUCUCUGGACAGUUCCUGACGCUGAGGCACGAAGGCCAGGGGAGCAAACGGG
rnacentral:rRNA from 1 species